rnacentral:rRNA from 1 species
GUAGGUGGCAAGCGUUGUCCGGAUUUACUGGGCGUAAAGAGCGCGCAGGCGGUCAGGUAAGUCGAAUGUGAAAGCCCCCGGCUCAACUGGGGAAGGUCAUUCGAUACUGCUUGACUUGAAGAUGGGAGAGGGAAGCGGAAUUUCCGGUGUAGUGGUGAAAUGCGUAGAUAUCGGAAGGAACACCAGUGGCGAAGGCGGCUUUCUGGCCCAUUCUUGACGCUGAGGCGCGAAAGCUAGGGGAGCGAACGGGGAUUAGAUACCCCGGUAGUCCUAGCCGUAAACGAUGAACACUAGAUGUUGGUGUAUCAACCCCCGCCAGUGUCGUAGCUAACGCAUUAAGUGUUCCGCCUGGGGGAGUACGGCCGCAAGGCUA